rnacentral:tRNA from 1 species
CAAAUUAUAUUUUAUUAAAAUAUUUUAUUUACAUUAAAAAGAAAAUUGAGAAUUCAAUUUAAUUUGA